AUUCAUUAUGUGUAUCAAUCCAAAUAAAGGAUAUAAAAUUUGCGCCAUGAAAAGUCCAAUUAGGGAAGAUCCUGGAAAGUCCUUCACACAAUUGAGCACGCCAAAUACUUGUCCAUUUCCAUGUUUUAUUUAGAUACUAUUCAUUAAAUAAACAAUAACUAAAAUUACGCAAUAACAGUGCUUUUCAACAUGACCAACCUCUUCGUCUUUAACUACUGCAGCAAGAAAUGCAAUGGCUGCACUGUUCAUAGACCACUGAAAGACUUACUGGAACUUGAUAGCGUGAAAUAUUUAAACAAUCAUGAUCCGUAGGGCAAAGAAUAGACCCAACACGAAGACCCUAAAUGCUUAGUCCAAGAGUGAAUGAUAAAAAUUUUAAUCUGCUUUUCGUGUGCCAUAAACGAAAUCCACUCUCCUAAGAAAACAAUUGAAAAAUAAAGAAUUCAACUGUAAUGAAAAAAGGGACCUUUGGAAAUCAAACUUUCUUCCCUCCACAAAGAUCCUACGUGACGAAAGGUUGCAUUGACUCAUCAACAAUAACAGUGGAACCGUGCGGAACAUUCCAAGCAUUUUCUAAAUUGUGCAUCAUGUCGUUUACUGUAAAGUAUUUGCCUUUAAAUAGUUACAAAGCACAAAUGAAAUGUCAAAGUUGAAAUUUGUUUCAAAGUGGAAUGUCAACAAUGACUUUGUUUUUUCUCAAAGAAUCACCUGUUGGAUUAGACGGAUUAACAAUACAAAGAAGCUGCGGACCUUGCAUAUUCUUGAUAUUGUGGUUCGCACGGACCUUGAAAUUUUUUAUUUGAUAUCUAACGAGGAGCUAAACGAAUACACAAAUCAAUCAAUUCUGACGCGCCGUUUCCUAAAACUAAACGUUUCUGGAUAUUGUUCGAAUUUUCAUUGAUAGAAAGAAAAUUCGCUAAUUGUGUUUUGGCUGGUUCAGUAUCCCUGGCAGGAUAAUGAUGCAUUGUCUAUACAGGGUGUUCGUUAUAUACAAUGGUGUAAAUGUUAAUACAAACAAACUUGUAACGCAUCGAAUAAUCUUCAACAAAAUUUUCAAGUGAACGCCAAUCUUGACCGCCUAUAUUGUCAAUUGUUUUACGUGUUUUUGUAAUCCGAAGAAAUAUCUUACCAUGAAAU